AUGACGUUGCAUGGCGAGAGUCGAGACCCGAUGCUGGAGUCUCAUGACGUUGUCCUGAAAACCAUCGAGCCCGGCCACGGCGAGAUCGACAUCUCAUCGGCAGGUUCGGUCGCCGUCUCGUCGUCAGGGAGAGCGCAGCAACACCGUCGACCAUCGCGCGCCAUGGAGAGGCAGAGCACAGCAACAACAUCACCCACGCUGUCCUUGGAAGAAUCCGUUGCCGAUAUCGAGAUGUUGGAGGCCGUGGCCCAUAUCGAGAGGUUGGUGACAAAAUUAUUUGCCUACGCUGAGAGGGCCAUGAAGGCCUUCUGUGUGCAGGAGGGCAAAGGCGAAUGCCUGGACAAGGUCGGCGCCUGGGCUGCUGCGUGCUCGGGGCCGGACAUGAUGGCGUGCACUAGCGCGGAGGCGGCGCUGGACAAUUGUUUCGGUACUGUCAUCUUGCACUCUUCUCAGGAAGGUAGCAUUGAGGAUCUAGCUGCUUUGUACUUGGACGGGGCACCAAUAAAUCCAUGGCGGCAGCCUCGGCUGGUGGAUCAACGCUUUCUCUACAGUGACCGGUACUCGUCGAUUCCGCCGUCCUCCUCGGACGUGGGUGCGGCGAAGUGGUCAUGGUUUGUGCUUGUGCUGUGGGUCUCCUUGGGGGAGGCCGAACCCGAUCUAGAGCCGUCCAUCUUCUUCAACCUUGGCAGCCUCCACCCAAUCUUACCUUUGGUGGCCUGCGGUCACCGAAGCCGGUCAUUUAUGCACCAGAGAAAUCCAAGGCCAGUUGUGCUGACCACGACGACCCUGCUUCAUGUAGGCGUCGUCCAGGUUGUCCCCUUACCCCCUCCUCAUUCCCACUUCUCGUGUAGAAGGUUUCUGUGGGUGCAACCCAGCCAGCCCUACUUUGCAUGGACCUGCUCCUCGUGGGCGAUGUGCCCUGUUCGGUUGGGUCGUCAUGCGUACCAUCACCCCACUACAAAGAUAAUGCAACACAUGUUCACGAGAUAUAUACCUGUUGCAUCAACUGAGGAAAACAGGAUUGAGAUUAGCCUAAACUGCGGAGGAGAACCAUCAACUGAGGCCGGAAUUAUGAAUGUGAUCGCAAGCUGUGAGAGAUCGAGCAACCCUGACAAUUGGCAUCAAAGCCGGUUUAAGGUGAUCCCGACGCCCAUGGCUGACACCGGAGCUCAGCCGGACCAGGCGGCGGCGGCACCCCGCAACGGUGGCGGGGGUGGGAGCCGCUCGCGCACUCCACCACAGGAGCGCAGCCGCGGACGGAGCCACGUGAGAAGGGAGUGGCGGGUGGUGAUCCACCAGGCGGUGGCCAUGGAGCGCGCGCCGCUUGUGCCAAGCGCGGGCACCAUGUUCCCGACGCUCACAUCCACGAACUACAUCGAGUGGUCUCUCGUGAUGAAGGUGCACCUGGAGUCUUGGGGGCUCUGGGACGCGAUCGAGGGUAACGCACUGCAUGUGCGUGACGACAAGACGGCGCUCGGCGUCCUGUUCCGAGUCGUCCCCCUAGAGAUGCUUGGCGUCCUCGUCGUCAACGAGACGGCGAAGGAGGCCUGGGACACGAUCAAGGUCAUGCGCAUGGGGAUGCACCGUGUGCGCGAGGCCACCACGCAACGCCUGCGCGCGGAGUUCGAGCAGAUCACCUUCCGCGACGGCGAAACUCUCGACUCCUUCGGCAUGAGGAUCACCGCCCUCGUCAACCAGCUGCGCACGCUGGAGGACAACGUCGAAGAGGUACGCAUGAUCCCGAAGAUGCUCCGUGUCGUCCCCGCCCGCUAUGCCCAGAUCGCAGUCGCGAUAGAGCCCCUCCUUGAUCUGACCACGAUCUCGGUCGAGGAGCUGAUCGGUUGA
rnacentral:rRNA from 1 species